UACGUAGGGUGCAAGCGUUGUCCGGAAUUAUUGGGCGUAAAGAGCUCGUAGGCGGUCUGUCGCGUCUGCUGUGAAAACCUGGGGCUCAACCCCGGGCCUGCAGCCGAUACGGGCAAGCUAGAAUUCGGUAGGGGAGACUGGAAUUCCUGGUGUAGCGGUGAAAUGCGCAGAUAUCAGGAGGAACACCGAUGGCGAAGGCAGAUCUCUGGGCCGUAACUGACGCUGAGGAGCGAAAGCAUGGGGAGCGAACAGG
rnacentral:rRNA from 1 species